GGCUCUACAUGUGGCAUAGUGGUUUGAGUGUUGGACUAGGAAUCUGGAGACCAGGGUUCAAAUCCCUCCACAGCCA
rnacentral:tRNA from 1 species